rnacentral:rRNA from 1 species
GCAUAUCAAUAAGCGGAGGAAAAGAAAAUAACAAUGAUUCCCUCAGUAACGGCGAGUGAACAGGGAAGAGCUCAAAGUGGAAAUCAAAGGUUCUUAAUGCGCCUUUGACUUGUAGCCUCGAGAGGCGUGACCAGUGGAAGCGCUGAGAAAAGUUUUUUGGAAAAGAACAUCAUGGAGGGUGAGAGUCCUGUCUUUGCUCUGCGUUGUUAGUUCCACGUACGGUGCGCUUUUAUAGAGUCGCGUUCAUCGGGAUUUGAGCGCAAAAUGUGUGAUAAGUUUCACAUAAAGCUAAAUAUUGGUGCGAGACCGAUAGCAAACAAGUACCGUGAGGGAAAGAUGAAAAGUUCUUUGGAAAGAGGGUUAAAAGUACCUGAAAUUGCUGAAAAGGAAGCGAUUGGAGCCUUGUAGAUUCCAAGAAGUGAAGUAGAUUUGACAUCGWUUCUCCUUUCUUUUUGACCUAUUAAGGUAGAAGAAGGGUAUGCUAUCAGAUGAAUGAUCUACGAAUCUUUUUGGAGAGGUCAGCAUCAGUUACUUUGAGAAAAAGAUGGGUAAAGAAGGUAGGUCCCUUGUGGAUUGUUAUAGCUUUGCCUUCACGACUUUUCAAGGUGACUGAGGAGUGUUUUACUAGAAUUCGAGCCACACUUUCGAGUACUUGAAUUCUGUGAUGCUGACUGAAAUGGUUUCAACCGACCCGUCUUGAAACACGGACCAAGGAGUCUAACAUAUGUGCAAGUACGCGGGUUGUGAAAUCCUGCAUGCAUAAUGAAAGUGAGAGUAGGGAAAAAAGCAGUAAUACUGUUUUUUGCACCUACGACCGACCACGAUCUCAGAGAGAGGUUUGAGUUGGAGCAUAUCUGUUAGGACCCGAAAGAUGGUGAACUAUGCCUGGGUAGAAUGAAGUCAGGGGAAACCCUGAUGGAGGUUCGUAGCGAUACUGACGUGCAAAUCGUUCGUCAAACUUGGGUAUAGGGGCGAAAGACUAAUCGAACCAUCUAGUAGCUGG